rnacentral:rRNA from 1 species
AUUGAACGCUGGCGGCAGGCUUAACACAUGCAAGUCGAGCGGGGGAAGGUAGCUUGCUACCGGACCUAGCGGCGGACGGGUGAGUAAUGCUUAGGAAUCUGCCUAUUAGUGGGGGACAACAUCUCGAAAGGGAUGCUAAUACCGCAUACGUCCUACGGGAGAAAGCAGGGGAUCUUCGGACCUUGCGCUAAUAGAUGAGCCUAAGUCAGAUUAGCUAGUUGGUGGGGUAAAGGCCUACCAAGCCGACGAUCUGUAGCGGGUCUGAGAGGAUGAUCCGCCACACUGGGACUGAGACACGGCCCAGACUCCUACGGGAGGCAGCAGUGGGGAAUAUUGGACAAUGGGGGGAACCCUGAUCCAGCCAUGCCGCGUGUGUGAAGAAGGCCUUAUGGUUGUAAAGCACUUUAAGCGAGGAGGAGGCUACUUUAGUUAAUACCUAGAGAUAGUGGACGCUACUCGCAGAAUAAGCACCGGCUAACUCUGUGCCAGCAGCCGCCGUAA